rfam:Triticum aestivum genome assembly, contig: Triticum_aestivum_CS42_TGACv1_scaffold_556115_7AL
UUGUUGCAGACAAGGAGACACAAAUUUUAUGAGUAAUUUGCGUUUGAGUCAUCUCUGUGAUGUCAGACACUUUUCACCUUAGAGAUCUGAUGCAUCCU